rnacentral:rRNA from 1 species
GAGUUUGAUCAUGGCUCAGAUUGAACGCUGGCGGUAGGCUUAACACAUGCAAGUCGUGCGAGAAAGUAUCUUCGGAUAUGAGUAGAGCGGCGGACGGGUGAGUAACGCGUAGGAAUCUACCUAGUAGAAGGGGAUAGCCCGGGGAAACCCGGAUUAAUACCGUAUACCUCCUUCGGGAGAAAGAAGGCCUCUCUUUGAAGCUUUCGCUACUAGAUGAGCCUGCGUAAGAUUAGCUUGUUGGUGAGGUAAAGGCUCACCAAGGCUACGAUCUUUAGCUGGUCUGAGAGGACGAUCAGCCACAUUGGGACUGAGGCACGGCCCAGACUCCUACGGGAGGCAGCAGUGGGGAAUAUUGGACAAUGGGGGCAACCCUGAUCCAGCCAUUCCGCGUGUGUGAAGAAGGCCUUCGGGUUGUAAAGCACUUUAAGCAGGGAGAAAAAGUUAUAAGCUAAUACCUUAUGACCUUGAUGUUACCUGCAGAAUAAGCACCGGCUAAUUCCGUGCCAGCAGCCGCGGUAAUACGGAAGGUGCAAGCGUUAAUCGGAAUUACUGGGCGUAAAGCGCGCGUAGGUGGUUUGUUAAGUUGGAUGUGAAAGCCCUGGGCUCAACCUAGGAACUGCAUCCAAAACUAACUCACUAGAGUACGAUAGAGGGAGGUAGAAUUCAUAGUGUAGCGGUGGAAUGCGUAGAUAUUAUGAAGAAUACCAGUGGCGAAAGCGGCCUCCUGGAUCUGUACUGACACUGAGUGCGAAAGCGUGGGUAGCGAACAGGAUUAGAUACCCUGUAGUCCACGCCGUAAACGAUGACACUAGCUAUUGGAGGCAAUGCCUUUCAGUGGCGCAGCUAACGUUUUAAGUUGUCCGCCU